CAAAGCGAUAUUAUACUUGAAAGAGAUAAUUUCCUUCAUCUUCCAUUUACAGAAACAAUAAAAACGAUUCUUGAAAUAUAACAAACUGGAAAACAGAGAAAGGACAAAAAUAGCGAAGACCAUUGUAUCAUAUAUACGGAUCCUAAAAGAAGAUUUUUGUCCAGUCAGUUAUAGUGAUUUUUCCAGUAGAAGCAAGAAAACCUACUAUAUUUCCUUUAAAAUGGG
rnacentral:sRNA from 1 species